rnacentral:rRNA from 1 species
UUGAACGCUGGCGGCAGGCCUAACACAUGCAAGUCGAACGGUAACAGGAAGCAGCUUGCUGCUUCGCUGACGAGUGGCGGACGGGUGAGUAAUGUCUGGGAAGCUGCCUGAUGGAGGGGGAUAACUACUGGAAACGGUAGCUAAUACCGCAUAAUGUCGCAAGACCAAAGAGGGGGACCUUCGGGCCUCUUGCCAUCGGAUGUGCCCAGAUGGGAUUAGCUUGUUGGUGGGGUAACGGCUCACCAAGGCGACGAUCCCUAGCUGGUCUGAGAGGAUGACCAGCCACACUGGAACUGAGACACGGUCCAGACUCCUACGGGAGGCAGCAGUGGGGAAUAUUGCACAAUGGGCGCAAGCCUGAUGCAGCCAUGCCGCGUGUAUGAAGAAGGCCUUCGGGUUUUAAAGUACUUUCAGCGGGGAGGAAGGGAGUAAAGUUAAUACCUUUGCUCAUUGACGUUACCCGCAGAAGAAGCACCGGCUAACUCCGUG